rnacentral:lncRNA from 1 species
UCAUCGGCGCCUGAGGAAUAUCUUAGCGGAUGAAUUAGUAUUUGUUGUUCUUGUUUCUUCAGUACCUUCAGUGGUUCCUAUCCCUGUCAUGUUCCUUGGAUUAUUUACAAGUGGUAUUCAAGCUCUUAUUUUUGCAACUUUAGUCGCGGCGAGCCCUACCUCAUUUAUCAUCGAGCGAUCAUUUAAGGGUCUUAGCUGGUGAUCUGGGCUGUUUCCUUCUCGAUGAUGAAGCUUAUCCCCUAUCGUCUCACUGGCCGACCUUAACCCCUGUUAUUUUGAGGUCAUAUCUAGUAUUGAGGAACGUAUUGAGAGAG